rfam:Nematostella vectensis strain CH2 x CH6 NEMVEscaffold_198_Cont18421, whole genome shotgun sequence.
AGAGGGCAAGAUUACUCGGGGUGAGUACAUCGAUCUUGCCCUCCUUCACCCCGAUAAUCUUGCGCACG